GUUGGAAGGGUUGAUUCUGACA
rnacentral:miRNA from 1 species